AAUGCCGGUGUGAGUAGCGAAAGACGGGUGAGAAUCCCGUCCACCGAUUGACUAAGGUUUCCAGAGGAAGGCUCGUCCGCUCUGGGUUAGUCGGGUCCUAAGCUGAGGCCGACAGGCGUAGGCGAUGGAUAACAGGUUGAUAUUCCUGUACCACCUAUAAUCGUUUUAAUCGAUGGGGGGACGCAGUAGGAUAGGCGAAGCGUGCGAUUGGAUUGCACGUCUAAGCAGUAAGGCUGAGUAUUAGGCAAAUCCGGUACUCGUUAAGGCUGAGC
rnacentral:rRNA from 1 species